rnacentral:rRNA from 1 species
UCAUAUGCUUGUCUCAAAGAUUAAGCCAUGCAUGUCUAAGUACAAGCCGAAGUACGGCGAAACCGCGAAUGGCUCAUUAAAUCAGUUAUGGUUCCUUAGAGCAUAAAUUGUUACUUGGAUAACUGUGGUAAUUCUAGAGCUAAUACAUGCACGAUCACCAACCUCUCUGAGGGACGUGUGCUUUUAUUAGACCAAGAUCAAUCGGGCUUCGGUCCGCGGUUGUGGUGACUCUGGAUAACUUUGUGCAGAACGCUAAGGUCUUUGCACCGGCGGCAAUUCUUUCAAGUGUCUGCCUUAUCAACUGUCGAUGGUAGGUUAUGCGCCUACCAUGGUUGUAACGGGUAACGGAGAAUCAGGGUUCGGUUCCGGAGAGGGAGCCUGAGAGACGGCUACCACAUCCAAGGAAGGCAGCAGGCGCGCAAAUUACCCACUCCCGGCACGGGGAGGUAGUGACGAAAAAUAACAAUACGGGACUCUAUUGAGGCCCCGUAAUUGGAAUGAGUACACUCUAAAUCCUUUAACGAGGAUCAAUUGGAGGGCAAGUCUGGUGCCAGCAGCCGCGGUAAUUCCAGCUCCAAUAGCGUAUGUUAAAGUUGUUGCGGUUAAAAAGCUCGUAGUUGGAUCUCAGUCGCAGGCGGGAAGUACACCUAACCGGUGAGACGGCCCGUGCUGGACAGGAUGCCGGCUGUCUCUUGGUCCUCUUCAUUGGGUGCCUUGAGGUGGCCUGUGCGUUUACUUUGAAAAAAUUAGAGUGCUUAAAGCAGGCGUGACGCCUGAAUAACAGUGCAUGGAAUAAUGGAAUAGGAACUCUUGCCUAUUGUGUUGGUUUCUGGAUAAGAGCUAAUGAUUAAGAGGGACAGACGGGGGCAUUCGUAUUGCAGCGCUAGAGGUGAAAUUCUUGGACCGUUGCAAGACGAACUACUGCGAAAGCAUUUGCCAAGAAUGUUUUCAUUGAUCAAGAACGAAAGUUAGAGGUUCGAAGGCGAUCAGAUACCGCCCUAGUUCUAACCAUAAACGAUGCCAACCAGCGAUCCGCCUGAGUUCCUCAAAUGACUCGGCGGGCAGCUUCCGGGAAACCAAAGUAUUUGGGUUCCGGGGGAAGUAUGGUUGCAAAGCUGAAACUUAAAGGAAUUGACGGAAGGGCACCACCAGGAGUGGAGCCUGCGGCUUAAUUUGACUCAACACGGGAAAACUUACCCGGCCCGGACACCGGAAGGAUUGACAGAUUGAGAGCUCUUUCUUGAUUCGGUGGAUGGUGGUGCAUGGCCGUUCUUAGUUGGUGGAGCGAUUUGUCUGGUUAAUUCCGAUAACGAACGAGACUCUAGCCUAUUAAAUAGCCGUGUGGUCGUCUGUGCCAUGCGGUCUUCUUAGAGGGACAAGCUGCUCCUAGCAGCACGAAACAGAGCAAUAACAGGUNUGUGAUGCCCUUAGAUGUCCGGGGCCGCACGCGCGCUACACUGAAGGAAGCAACGUGUGCAUAUCCCUGUUCAGAUGAACUGGGUAACCCGAUCAACCUCCUUCGUGAUUGGAAUAGGGGCUUGAAAUUGUUCCCCUUGAACGAGGAAUUCCCAGUAAGCGCGAGUCAUAAGCUCGCGUUGAUUACGUCCCUGCCCUUUGUACACACCGCCCGUCGCUACUACCGAUUGAAUGAUUUAGUGAGGUCUUCAGACUGAAACCCGAUGCGGCCUCUGGUUGCGCCGGUGUGUCGUGAAGAUGACCAAACUUGAUUAUUUAGAGGAAGUAAAAGUCGUAACAAGGUUUCC